GGAGUUGUGGCUCAGCGGUAGAGUGCUCACCUAGCAUGUGUGAGGUGCUGGGUUAGAUCCUCAGCACCA
rnacentral:tRNA from 1 species